GAGCGGUAGCACAGAGAGCUUGCUCUCGGGUGACGAGCGGCGGACGGGUGAGUAAUGUCUGGGAAACUGCCUGAUGGAGGGGGAUAACUACUGGAAACGGUAGCUAAUACCGCAUAACGUCGCAAGACCAAAGUGGGGGACCUUCGGGCCUCAUGCCAUCAGAUGUGCCCAGAUGGGAUUAGCUAGUAGGUGGGGUAACGGCUCACCUAGGCGACGAUCCCUAGCUGGUCUGAGAGGAUGACCAGCCACACUGGAACUGAGACACGGUCCAGACUCCUACGGGAGGCAGCAGUGGGGAAUAUUGCACAAUGGGCGCAAGCCUGAUGCAGCCAUGCCGCGUGUGUGAAGAAGGCCUUCGGGUUGUAAAGCACUUUCAGCGGGGAGGAAGGCGUUAAGGUUAAUAACCUUGGCGAUUGACGUUACCCGCAGAAGAAGCACCGGCUAACUCCGUGCCAGCAGCCGCGGUAAUACGGAGGGUGCAAGCGUUAAUCGGAAUUACUGGGCGUAAAGCGCACGCAGGCGGUCUGUCAAGUCGGAUGUGAAAUCCCCGGGCUCAACCUGGGAACUGCAUUCGAAACUGGCAGGCUAGAGUCUUGUAGAGGGGGGUAGAAUUCCAGGUGUAGCGGUGAAAUGCGUAGAGAUCUGGAGGAAUACCGGUGGCGAAGGCGGCCCCCUGGACAAAGACUGACGCUCAGGUGCGAAAGCGUGGGGAGCAAACAGGAUUAGAUACCCUGGUAGUCCACGCCGUAAACGAUGUCGAUUUGGAGGUUGUGCCCUUGAGGCGUGGCUUCCGGAGCUAACGCGUUAAAUCGACCGCCUGGGGAGUACGGCCGCAAGGUUAAAACUCAAAUGAAUUGACGGGGGCCCGCACAAGCGGUGGAGCAUGUGGUUUAAUUCGAUGCAACGCGAAGAACCUUACCUGGUCUUGACAUCCACAGAACUUUCCAGAGAUGGAUUGGUGCCUUCGGGAACUGUGAGACAGGUGCUGCAUGGCUGUCGUCAGCUCGUGUUGUGAAAUGUUGGGUUAAGUCCCGCAACGAGCGCAACCCUUAUCCUUUGUUGCCAGCGGUUAGGCCGGGAACUCAAAGGAGACUGCCAGUGAUAAACUGGAGGAAGGUGGGGAUGACGUCAAGUCAUCAUGGCCCUUACGACCAGGGCUACACACGUGCUACAAUGGCAUAUACAAAGAGAAGCGACCUCGCGAGAGCAAGCGGACCUCAUAAAGUAUGUCGUAGUCCGGAUUGGAGUCUGCAACUCGACUCCAUGAAGUCGGAAUCGCUAGUAAUCGUAGAUCAGAAUGCUACGGUGAAUACGUUCCCGGGCCUUGUACACACCGCCCGUCACACCAUGGGAGUGGGUUGCAAAAGA
rnacentral:rRNA from 1 species